GACCGUAUCAAUGAUAUUCCUCUUUACUCUAGUCUUUUACUACACACAUAACGAAUUUUACAUUUUUUUUUUACCUGUAUUCAAAAAAUCUGCGAAAAUUCAUCUUUUCAUAAUCUUUCAUUUUUUUUCUCGAUCUUCUUAUAUUACUUUUUCUCGAGACAACCAUAUUUGGCAUUUCCAUUGGGUUGCCUAUCUAAAGUGAUUUGGCUUCAAAAAUUCUUCUUCCUAACCUUACGAAUUACUUUUUAUCUACGUAUUCGUGUAUAUUACUUAUAUGAGAGAAUAAUUUACUUGCUAUUUUUACAAUAUAUUGACAUUUUGAUACUUAUUAUAUCGUACAUAGUAGAAAUAAACGGGGUUCAAUUAUUUUCUUUGAAAACAUUUCUUUUGAAAUUUGAGUGUGUAGAAAUUUGUUGAUACGAUAGACCGUCAUUAUUUGUACGAUACUCGUUUCAUGCAAUAUUAUGUCGGCGAAUUUGUCGACGAAAAACGUGCUAACAGUUAAAAUAUAAAAUCUGAAUUCUUUUUUAGAGCGUUUGCGCAUUUAGAAUAAGAAUUUUAUUCGUGUAAUUAUUAAUAGAAUGGGGCUCCGAUAUUAGUUAUUACAAUCCUGUAUUAUGGACGAAAAUUGCAAGCUGUGUUAGUAUCCAUACGUUCGAUAUACAUUAGUAUUCGCGUGUUCGUGUAAAUCGCUGCUUCCUUCAGCCAAUGAGCGUUCGUGCUUUACGGUGUCAUGUUUGCAUCCACAGCAACGAUCCCUCCGCAAAAUCUUUUCGAUGCAAUAACUUUUUUCCUGAAAGUACAUUUGUAAGAAAUCUUGAAUAUAACGGAUUCCAAAAUUCUUUAAGUUUUCGUUAAGAACAUUCGAAUGGUAAAAAGAAAAAUGAUUGUUCGAAAAAAUAAAGAUAAACGUAAUGAACUACACGCAUAUGUUUCGAUAUCACUCCGCGUGAAAGUAGUUCCUGGACACUUUAUUUUUAUCAAUUUUUCGAAAUUUACGAAUCCAAAUAGAUUUCUUCCGAUUUGAUUAAAAUACCAAAAGAUAUUUAUUUUAAUUUUUUCUAAAAUUAACAUUUAUUUUCAAUAAUCGGUUAAUCAUACUAUCGAUAGUAUUAAUAGGAAAUUUUAAGGUGGUUGUAUACAGCUGAGAGACGCAACCACCUGAUUUUUGCAUGGGGCGCGACGUUGCCUGCAAAGGCGGAACCAUUUAAAUUUUGACAUUCGCCGGAUCUACACGUGCACGCCAACCGUCAUCUGUCAGUAUAACCGAUCUGUCGAAUCUUCAAAUAUAUUUUUAAGCCUUCCGUUUUGAAGGUUUAUACCACAUAAACGACACAAUAACAUAAUUAUGGCUGAUCAGCCGCCACAUACUCUUUAAGAAAUCUGUAUCAAUAAUG